rnacentral:rRNA from 1 species
UACGUAGGGGGCGAGCGUUGUCCGGAUUUAUUGGGCGUAAAGAGCGUGUAGGCGGCCAGGUAGGUCUGCUGUGAAAACUCGAGGCUCAACCUCGAGACGUCGGCGGAAACCAUCUGGCUAGAGUCCGGAAGAGGAGAGUGGAAUUCCUGGUGUAGCGGUGAAAUGCGCAGAUAUCAGGAAGAACACCCGUGGCGAAGGCGGCUCUCUGGGACGGUACUGAAGCUGAGACGCGAAAGCGUGGGGAGCGAACAGG